ensembl:snoRNA LOC120102688 small nucleolar RNA SNORA17
CAUGCUCCUAGAGUAGGUGUGGUCAAUGUGUCACAUGUGUAUCAGUAGGUGGCCGAGAGGAGAGAGGAUAUGUCUACGCCCAGUGUUCUGACCUAUGAACAUACAGAUGUUUAGUAGCCUAAGAUU